rnacentral:tRNA from 1 species
AAACUUGUAAGUUAUCCAAACUCUUAAAUUUUUACUUUAAUAAUGAUUAAAAAUAAUCCAAGUUUA